CGGCGGGAAAGGCCGGGGAGCUAGCCCUUCCCUGCAACCCGAGACGGGCUACACGCGGGGGCCUGACAACCCGUGAGGGCGCUUGCGGCCGGCCUGCCUGCCGUGCUGCACAGAGGCGAUGAGAACACGCCGGGUAGGGGCGUCGCAGGAGGGCAAGGCCCUCGUAGGAGGGCCCCAGCCUCCUAAUGCGUCGAACCGUGUCAGGCCCGGGAGGGAGCAGCACUAAGACGCAGCGGCGCAGCCUUCCCAUAAGCGUGUCCGAGUGUUCUGUGCUGGGCGGGGGCGGGUGCGGGCCCUUGCCACCUCAGGGGGGCCGCCG
rnacentral:SRP_RNA from 1 species